rnacentral:rRNA from 1 species
UCUCCUGGAAACGGGUGGUAAUGCCGGAUGUUCCACAUGAGCGCAUGCGAGUGUGGGAAAGGCUUUUUGCGGCAUGGGAUGGGGUCGCGUCCUAUCAGCUUGUUGGUGGGGUAACGGCCUACCAAGGCGUUGACGGGUAGCCGGCCUGAGAGGGCGACCGGCCACAUUGGGACUGAGAUACGGCCCAGACUCCUACGGGAGGCAGCAGUGGGGAAUAUUGCACAAUGGGCGCAAGCCUGAUGCAGCGACGCCGCGUGCGGGAUGGAGGCCUUCGGGUUGUAAACCGCUUUUGUUCAAGGGCAAGGCACGGUUUCGGCCGUGUUGAGUGGAUUGUUCGAAUAAGCACCGGCUAACUACGUGCCAGCAGCCGCGGUAAUACGUAGGGGUGCAAGCGUUAUCCGGAUUUAUUGGGGCGUAAAGGGCUCGUAGGCGGUUCGUCGCGUCCGGGUGGUGAAAGUCCAUCGCUUAACGGUGGAUCCGCGCCCGGGUACGGGCGGGGCUUGAGUGCGGUAGGGGGAGAACCUGGGAAUUCCCGGGUGGUAACGGGUGGAAAUUGUGGUAGAAUAUCGGGGAAGAAACACCCA